rnacentral:lncRNA from 1 species
UUCGCUUUUAUGUACAUAAAUCUGAGAGUGAUUCUCUCUAGAGUAAAUCCUCUCUAGAGCUUUGGACCAUCCUUCUUGGUUUGCUCAACAAGAAAGAUCUCAGAUUCCUUUCACAUCAUCGGAAUUCAUCACAAUCAUGUUUCUUUCAUCUCCUUGUCUCCUUUCAUUCUUCUUUAUCCUUUCUGAUCUCAAUCACCAUGACCGCUGAAAUGGAUAAAAUUCUGUUAGCCUUUCUCUUAAAGACGAUGAUGAAGCUCCAUACAAUCUUCCGGACCUCCCUUAAUAUUUUGCAAC